AUGAACGCUAGCUACAGGCUUAACACAUGCAAGUCGAGGGGCAGCAUGAACUUAGCUUGCUAAGUUUGAUGGCGACCGGCGCACGGGUGAGUAACACGUAUCCAACCUGCCGAUGACUCGGGGAUAGCCUUUCGAAAGAAAGAUUAAUACCCGAUGGCAUAGUUCUUCCGCAUGGUAGAACUAUUAAAGAAUUUCGGUCAUCGAUGGGGAUGCGUUCCAUUAGGUUGUUGGCGGGGUAACGGCCCACCAAGCCUUCGAUGGAUAGGGGUUCUGAGAGGAAGGUCCCCCACAUUGGAACUGAGACACGGUCCAAACUCCUACGGGAGGCAGCAGUGAGGAAUAUUGGUCAAUGGACGAGAGUCUGAACCAGCCAAGUAGCGUGAAGGAUGACUGCCCUAUGGGUUGUAAACUUCUUUUAUACGGGAAUAAAGUGAGGCACGUGUGCCUUUUUGUAUGUACCGUAUGAAUAAGGAUCGGCUAACUCCGUGCCAGCAGCCGCGGUAAUACGGAGGAUCCGAGCGUUAUCCGGAUUUAUUGGGUUUAAAGGGAGCGUAGGCGGACGCUUAAGUCAGUUGUGAAAGUUUGCGGCUCAACCGUAAAAUUGCAGUUGAUACUGGGUGUCUUGAGUACAGUAGAGGCAGGCGGAAUUCGUGGUGUAGCGGUGAAAUGCUUAGAUAUCACGAAGAACUCCGAUUGCGAAGGCAGCCUGCUGGACUGUAACUGACGCUGAUGCUCGAAAGUGUGGGUAUCAAACAGGAUUAGAUACCCUGGUAGUCCACACAGUAAACGAUGAAUACUCGCUGUUUGCGAUAUACAGUAAGCGGCCAAGCGAAAGCGUUAAGUAUUCCACCUGGGGAGUACGCCGGCAACGGUGAAACUCAAAGGAAUUGACGGGGGCCCGCACAAGCGGAGGAACAUGUGGUUUAAUUCGAUGAUACGCGAGGAACCUUACCCGGGCUUGAAUUGCAACUGAAUGAUGUGGAGACAUGUCAGCCGCAAGGCAGUUGUGAAGGUGCUGCAUGGUUGUCGUCAGCUCGUGCCGUGAGGUGUCGGCUUAAGUGCCAUAACGAGCGCAACCCUUAUCGAUAGUUACCAUCAGGUGAUGCUGGGGACUCUGUCGAGACUGCCGUCGUAAGAUGUGAGGAAGGUGGGGAUGACGUCAAAUCAUCAUGCCCCUUAUGGCCAGGGCUACACACGUGCUACGAUGGCGUAAACAAAGGGAAGCGAGAGGGUGACCUGGAGCGAAUCCCAAAAAUAACGUCUCAGUUCGGAUUGUAGUCUGCAACUCGACUACAUGAAGCUGGAAUCGCUAGUAAUCGCAGAUCAGAAUGCUGCGGUGAAUACGUUCCCGGGUCUUGUACACACCGCCCGUCACACCAUGGGAGUCGAAAAUGCCCGAAGUCGGUGACCUAACGAAAGAAGGAGCCGCCGAAGGCAGGUUUGAUAACUGGGGUG
rnacentral:rRNA from 1 species